AAUAUUCCAGAACUUGGAUAUGGAGUUUCACGGUAACGUAACUGAAUGUGGAGACGUCGGCGUGGGCCCUGGAAGAAGUUUUNNNUUUCUUCUAACAGCUUAUGACCCUGGAUGGAUUAACCAGAGAUGGGGUNUUAUGGCUGGAAGAGCAACUCUUUAAGUUGGUUGUCCCGGUGCGCCUACGACGGUCCUUGAAAAUCCACAGGAAGGAAUUUACUUUCAUGCCAAGUCGUACU
rnacentral:rRNA from 1 species